CUGGAUUCGACGGGAUUUGCGAAACCCAAGGUGCAUGCCGAGGGGCGGUUGGCCUCGUAAAAAGCCGCAAAAAAUAGUCGCAAACGACGAAAACUACGCUUUAGCAGCUUAAUAACCUGCUCUGAGCCCUCUCUCCCUAGCUUCCGCUCUUAAGACGGGGAUCAAAGAGAGGUCAAACCCAAAAGAGAUCGCGUGGAUGCCCUGCCUGGGGUUGAAGCGUUAAAUCUAAUCAGGCUAGUUUGUUAGUGGCGUGUCUGUCCGCAGCUGGCAAGCGAAUGUAAAGACUGA
rnacentral:misc_RNA from 1 species